AGUUAAAAGUUGAAGAAUUAUAAUUUCGUCAACUCUUCAUUCUAUCACCAAUUUAAAGAUGGAUCGUACUUACUGGAUGUACCAUAGCACACGUACAAGCUCGACAUAUACAGAUGGCGUUCGAAAUUUUCUUAGGGUUGCUGAAACACAUCGGUUGAAUAGUGGAAGUGGAUUGAUUUGUUGCCCUUGUACAAUUUGUAAAAAUUUCCAAAGAUUUAAUGAUAUCAAAGACAUACAGUUUCAUUUAAUUA